GAGAGAGGUCUGGGACAUGAAGACCUGCUAACUCUUCUUACCAUGGUUCAAGUCCAUGGCUCACUCA
rnacentral:tRNA from 1 species